UACGAAGGGGGCGAGCGUUGUUCGGAAUCACUGGGCGUAAAGGGCGCGUAGGCGGCCCUCUUAGUCGCGUGUGAAAGCCCCGGGCUCAACCUGGGAACGGCGCGCGAAACGGGAGGGCUGGAGUUCGGGAGAGGAGAGUGGAAUUCCCAGUGUAGAGGUGAAAUUCGUAGAUAUUGGGAAGAACACCGGUGGCGAAGGCGGCUCUCUGGACCGAGACUGACGCUGAGGCGCGAAAGCUAGGGGAGCAAACAGG
rnacentral:rRNA from 1 species